UACGUAGGGACCAAGCGUUGUUCGGAUUUACUGGGCGUAAAGGGCGCGUAGGCGGCAUGACAAGUCACUUGUGAAAUCUCCGGGCUUAACUCGGAACGGCCAAGUGAUACUGUCGCGCUAGAGUGCGGAAGGGGCAAUCAGAAUUCUUGGUGUAGCGGUGAAAUGCGUAGAUAUCAAGAGGAAUACCUGAGGUGAAGACGGGUUGCUGGACCAUUACUGACACUGAGACACGAAAGCGUGGGUAGCAAACAGG
rnacentral:rRNA from 1 species